UACGUAGGGUCCGAGCGUUGUCCGGAUUUAUUGGGCGUAAAGAGCUCGUAGGCGGCUUGUCACGUCGGGUGUGAAAGCCCGGGGCUUAACCCCGGGUCUGCAUUCGAUACGGGCUAGCUAGAGUGUGGUAGGGGAGAGCGGAAUUCCUGGUGUAGCGGUGAAAUGCGCAGAUAUCAGGAGGAACACCGGUGGCGAAGGCGGAUCUCUGGGCCAUUACUGACGCUGAGGAGCGAAAGCGUGGGGAGCGAACAGG
rnacentral:rRNA from 1 species